UGGGGAAUUUUGGACAAUGGGCGAAAGCCUGAUCCAGCCAUGCCGCGUGAGUGAAGAAGGCCUUCGGGUUGUAAAGCGCUUUUAGUCGGAAAGAAAGAGUUGCAAUGAAUAAUUGUGAUUUAUGACGGUACCGACAGAAAAAGCACCGGCUAACUACGUGCCAGCAGCCGCGGUAAUACGUAGGGUGCGAGCGUUAAUCGGAAUUACUGGGCGUAAAGGGUGCGCAGGCGGUCUUGCAAGUCAGAUGUGAAAGCCCCGGGCUUAACCUGGGAAUUGCGUUUGAAACUACAAGGCUAGAGUGCAGCAGAGGGGAGUGGAAUUCCAUGUGUAGCAGUGAAAUGCGUAGAGAUGUGGAAGAACACCGAUGGCGAAGGCAGCUCCCUGGGUUGACACUGACGCUCAUGCACGAAAGCGUGGGGAGCAAACG
rnacentral:rRNA from 1 species